GAACAGCACCCUGUACUCAACUACGGUCUUUUUUCCCCCUUUACUGGUUGCCUGCGCUCGAGCGUGCGUCGCUCUGCCUAGUCCCACCUUUUCCUGCGCUGAGCUUCGCACAGGCGUAUGGGCUACGUAGGCGCCACUUCGUUUGUGCGUGUGUGUGUAUGUGUGUGUGUGUGUGUGUGCGUGUCAGCUUCUAUGUGAUUUAGAUUUACCCCUCUGAAGCAACCAUCAUUGCAGCGUGGCGACAUUGGUGUGACUGUCGCCUGUGUGUUUGACUUUAUCCUUCGCUUUUUUCCCCCUACGCACUCCGACCCCCUCCCUCACCCUUCCGGCUAUCUUCCUCUCCAGAGCCCUUCGCGCGCGUCCCUCCCUCCUCCGCCCUAUUGGUGUAGUUGUGUCUCUUUGUAUGUGCGUGUGUGUGCCGUGUGCGCGCUCCGUAUCUCCAUCUCCCCCGCAGCCGCACCUCACCCCCUCCCCGAUCGCUUUACCUUCUCUUUCCAUCUCCGCCCGUCGGCUCCCCGAGUGACCUGCUCGUCUGCUGUGGCCGUGGGUUGCCUGCCGUGCCCGCUUGGAGGCGUUUGGUGUUUUUGCCCACAGGCCCACUGCCUAGCGUAGCCGUCGCGUGGCGCAUCCCUGAUGGGGUUUUUAACCGUUUACAAGGGCGGUGAGCCGCCCAAGUCGAACGUGGCGCAGGAGGCCUUUGAUUACAUCUAUGAGCAGAUCCCAGCGCCUGUGGAGGUGGACGUCGAGCGCUUUCUGGAAAUUGGUCACUUCGAGUCGCUUGCCACCGCGACGUGCUUGAGCCUCGAGGACCUCUCGCUCUACCUUUUGGCCUUCGCUGUUGACGAGUCAGCGAAGCGCAUUUACAGAAUAUCGGAGAAGCACUUCGUAGCGUGGAUGGCAGGGCUCAUCAGCAAGCUCCCCCGCAACGCCGCCCCGCCUACCAGGGAGAACGCAUACGCACCCUUAUUCGCUGCCGCCCAUGGCGCGAUCGUGGACCUCAACAACACUAUUCGCAACAACGAGGACAAGCGCAGCAAGUUCUACCAGUUUCUGUACAACUGGUGCCUGAAAGGCAACGACGCCUCGGAUCGCGUGGAUAGCGCGAAGGAGUUGUGGUCGUGCUUCUUUUCGGCAUCGCCGGUAUCGUUCACGGCGGAGGAGGCGCGUCGCAAGUUUACCGCGUACGUGUGCUUUCCGCGCAUUAAUCAGUGGCUUGACUUCAUCACAAUCCUGGGCGAGAAGGCGACAGAGAGCAAGUCAGCCAGGGCUGCCGUUGAGCAGUCUGGGGUCUCGUUUGACACCUGGACGCAACUCCUGCUGUUUGCCCAGUUCGACAACUACGAUGCGUACGACGACGAGGACUCGUGGCCGGUCACCAUGGACGACUUUGUGGAGUACGUGCGUAAGCUAGAAGCGAGCAAGAAAGCUUAGAGGCAGCCAGCGCACCUGUGAUUGGCGUGCACGCCUCACGUGAGGCAGAAGGGCGAUGGUCAGCGUACGUAUGUGCCGGGAAAACAUGUGCGACGCUUCCCCUGCGCAACAGUACCACCCAUGGGAUUUCUUGCUCUCCGGAAAACGAACACCGUCGUGUAGGCGUUCGUUAUCUUUUUCGCACGUUGGCGUGCCCCGCCGGCACGCCACGGUUGAUCUCCGUAGUCGGCAUCUCGGCGGUGCUCGUCCGUCUUUCUUUUUCGUGUGCGAGGCGGGAUCUGCCUUUCCUUUCUCGGGUGCCACAAAAGGACAUUAGCGGACUGUGUCAUGCAUUUUCUUUGCGUGCGUGUGCGAUCAUGGGAUGGGAAGAGCGUUGAUGCGGAGAACGUUCGUUUCGUACUGCUCGUCUCACCACAACUGCUCUUCAUCUACACUACUCUUGACACAGUAUGCCGCAAGAUGGGUGUACAGUGCAGACACUGUGCGAUGAAACGAGCCUGCCAGCCGCGCGCCAUUUUCACCUCGCAGUCGCUUUUUUUUUUCGAAUUCUCACUUCACGUAUACCCCCGUUAAUGGGGUUUUCUACCUUUUCUAUUGCUUGCUGCAUUCAUCGUGACGUGCGCAAGAGCCCUUCACUCUCCCUCCCCUCCUCCCCGCGUGCUCUCGUCCUUAUCUCUUGUCCGCUGGAUUCUCUCCUGUUACGUGACGCUAAAG
rnacentral:misc_RNA from 1 species